rnacentral:rRNA from 1 species
UACGGGGGGGGCAAGCGUUGUUCGGAAUUACUGGGCGUAAAGGGCUCGUAGGCGGCCAACUAAGUCGGAUGUGAAAUCCCCAGGCUUAACCUGGGAACUGCAUCCGAUACUGGAUGGCUUGAAUUCGGGAGAGGGAUGCAGAAUUCCAGGUGUAGCGGUGAAAUGCGUAGAUAUCUGGAGGAAUACCGGUGGCGAAGGCGGCUCACUGGCCCGAUACUGACGCUGAUGCACGAAAGCGUGGGGAGCAAACAGG